AGAGUUUGAUCAUGGCUCAGGAUGAACGCUAGCGGCAGACUUAACACAUGCAAGUCGAGGGGCAUCACGAGUAGCAAUACUUGGUGGCGACCGGCGCAAGGGUGCGUAACGCGUGAGCAACAUGCCCGUAUCAGGGGGAUAAUCCAGGGAAACUUGGUCUAAUACCCCAUAGCAAUUGAAGGAGGCAUCUUCUUUGAUUUAAAGCUUUGGUGGAUACGGAUUGGCUCGCGUGACAUUAGCUAGAUGGUAAGGUAACGGCUUACCAUGGCUACGAUGUCUAGGGGUUCUGAGAGGAAGGUCCCCCACACUGGAACUGAGACACGGUCCAGACUCCUACGGGAGGCAGCAGUGGGGAAUAUUGGACAAUGGAUGGAAAUCUGAUCCAGCCAUGCCGCGUGCAGGAAGACGGCCCUAUGGGUUGUAAACUGCUUUUAUAUGGGAGCAAUAAGACCUACGUGUAGGUCGAUGAGAGUACCAUAUGAAUAAGCACCGGCUAACUCCGUGCCAGCAGCCGCGGUAAUACGGAGGGUGCAAGCGUUAUCCGGAUUUAUUGGGUUUAAAGGGUGCGUAGGCGGUUUGAUAAGUCAGCGGUGAAAUAUUUCAGCUUAACUGGAAGGGUGCCGUUGAUACUGUCGAGCUUGAAUUUAGUUGCUGUGGGUGGAAUGUGUGGUGUAGCGGUGAAAUGCAUAGAUAUCACACAGAAUAUCGAUUGCGAAGGCAGCUCACAAAGCUAAUAUUGACGCUGAUGCACGAAAGUGUGGGGAUCAAACAGGAUUAGAUACCCUGGUAGUCCACACUGUAAACGAUGAUAACUCGCUGUCGGCGAUACACAGUCGGUGGCCAAGCGAAAGCGAUAAGUUAUCCACCUGGGGAGUACGACCGCAAGGUUGAAACUCAAAGGAAUUGACG
rnacentral:rRNA from 1 species